GUAGCAUAAUCAUUAGGGGUUUAAUUGGAACCUGGAAUGAAGGGUUGGACAAAAGAAAGACUGUCUUUAUAGUGUAGGUUGAAGUUUACUUUUAAGUGAAAAGGCUUAAAUGUUUCAGAGGGACGAUAAGACCCUAUAAAGCUUUAUAAAUAAUUGAGAUUUAAUUGAUUUAAUAAAUAAAAAUUGAGUUUGAUUGUUUUAUUUUGUUGGGGUGAUGUGAGUAUAAUUGGUGUUAACUGCUUAUGAGGAAUACUGUUAAUUAUAGAGUUGUAAAUAAUGAUCCUUCUUAAAGAUUAAAAGACUAAGUUACUUUAGGGAUAACAGCGUUAUUUCUUUUGAGAGUUCAUAUCGAAAGAGGAGAUUGCGACCUCGAUGUUGAAUUAAAAUAUCUAUAUAAUGCAGCCGUUAUAAAAGAGGGUCUGUUCGACCUUUAAAUUUUUACAUGAUUUGAGU
rnacentral:rRNA from 1 species